UACAGAGGUCCCAAGCGUUGUUCGGAUUCACUGGGCGUAAAGGGUGCGUAGGUGGCGGGGUAAGUUUGAUGUGAAAGCUCCGAGCUUAACUCGGAAAUGGCAUUGAAUACUAUCUUGCUCGAGGUUUGGAGGGGGACUGGAAUUCUCGGUGUAGCAGUGAAAUGCGUAGAUAUCGAGAGGAACACCAGUGGCGAAGGCGAGUCCCUGGACAACACCGUGACACUAAGGCACGAAAGCUAGGGGAGCAAAC
rnacentral:rRNA from 1 species